CUGUUGUGCUAGCAAACAGUAGGUCUUUAUUCAUUCUUUCUAUUUUGUACCCAUUAACCAUCUCCAUGGGCUCUGUCCCCUCCUCAGGUCUCUCUCAGGCAGGGGAAGCCAAAAGGCCAGGGUGAGGCUCGAAUCAAGGCAAAAAAAGGGCUGUGGGUGGUGAGAUGUACUGGGGACAGUCCUAGAAACUGCCUACCUCCAUGUUGGUGGCCCUCAAGGGACCUGCAUUGUAGCCUAAGACCUGCAGGAGUAAUGUGUUGACUCAGGGUAUUAGAAAGGACUGGAUCUAGCAACCACAGGAUCUAAAGCCUACGGAGGCUGCUUGGGCUGGAGCACAUCGCCAGGGAGAUGGGGUGGGUGGAGAUGGAAGUGUUAGGGCCGGUGCUCAGUACCCCUGGUCAGACCCCAAAGGCACUUGGUAGCAGGGGGAAAGAGCAAGGUGGGGCCCAGCUGGUCUCAGAGGGCAAGCAGGGGCAAUGCAGGAAUCAUCUACUAACUCCAAGUCUGAGAAGGGAACCCAGAAAUCUCAUAGUCUUCCCACUUGCCCGCAGUUUCUUCACAUUGUGACCGCCCUGGGCAAGUCAGGAGCCUAUAUCAGCUUAAGGUUUUCCCAGAGUCCUGAGCCAGGGCUCAGGGUGUGUGUGUGGGGCUGUGCCAGCCCAGGGAUAAGGUGGGUAGGGAGGGGCCUCUGAUCCCCACUGAGCAGGUGCUGGGGGACACACCCUCAUACCCCCCACACCAUGGGCCUGCAGAACCCUCUACUUUCGUCUCCUCUACUUUCCCAUCAGGGAAUGUGACCUCAGGCAGCACUGGCGAGGGGUGAACAGAAAGCUCACAAUAAAAUCAUCUCAUCAGAGGUCACAGAGCCAAGACGCUCCUAUUGAACUUUCCUGCCAAGCAGAAGCAAGAUUCCAUGUCCUCUCAUGGCCUAGACCCCUCUAAGCCACCUGCCACAGCUCCGGAAAUGAACACAGAGAAAGAAGCCUAGAGCUGGUGGUGCGUCCUGGACCCUGAGACAUGGGGCAUAAGCAGCAGAGGCCACUGGCCCCAGGAACCCGGUACCCUGCUGUUUGUGCACUGAGCCCCACCCAGUGUCAGGGCACCUCCAAAAUGCCAGGCACUGAGUGUCAUUCCUCAGCUGCUCGGCACAUCCUUCCUCCUUCAAGUCAGAAAACAGAUGCUGAACCGGCAUGGCGGUAGGUCAGGGCCUCCCCGGAGCCUGCCACCACAGAGCCUCUGCCCCAACGGGCACAGAUUACCCAAGGUAUCUCCCUCGUCCCUCAGCUCAUUCUCCCCCGCAAAGCAGGCUGCCCUCCCCGUAGCUAAGGUCAGGCUGGGCCUUGCACUGUGUGCACUCUUGUCCUGUCCACAAGGCAGCUAGGGUCUGUGACCUUGGCCAGCUUCCCCUGUGGACUCAGAGAGGACGGAGUGGCUUUACUGCAAUGAGUCUUUGGGGCUUGGCACCAGGUUUCCACUCCCCCCCGAGAACCAAGAGCAUCUGAACAUGGCCCGGCAGCUAUGCUUCAAAGUGAAAAACAUAAAAAUAAUCCCAAUGACUGGGCCACUAACUUAUGGAAUUAUUUAACCUAAUUCUAACAACAGCCCUAGGUGCUUGGUAUAGCAAGCCUCGUUUUACAGAUGAGAACACUGAAGUUCUGAGAGGUUACAGAACCUGGUCAGUGAGUGAAGGCAAAGUGGGACUCAGGUCCAGGUCAGAUGAACUUGAAGGCCCUGCUCCAACCUGCAGGUGCCUCCUCCAGAGCCAGCUCUGAUACUCAUUUUAAAAACCAUCCCAGCCAACCAACCGUAGGAGAACCUCGAAGGCAUCUUGGAGGUCCCUGUCUCUGCCAGGCACUCCCUCCCUGUCUUCUCAGCACCCUGCUGGCAUCACA
rnacentral:lncRNA from 1 species